UAAGCGGAGGAAAAGAAACUAACUAGGAUUCCCUUAGUAACGGCGAGUGAACCGGGAUGAGCUCAAAUUUAAAAUCUGGCGUCUUUCAGGCGUCCGAGUUGUAAUCUAUAGAGGCGUUUUCCGCGCCGGACCGCGUCCAAGUCUCUUGGAAUAGAGUAUCAAAGAGGGUGACAAUCCCGUACUUGACGCGACAACCGGUGCUCUGUGAUACGUUCUCAAUGAGUCGAGUUGUUUGGGAAUGCAGCUCUAAAUGGGUGGUAAAUUCCAUCUAAGGCUAAAUAUUGGCGAGAGACCGAUAGCGAACAAGUACCGUGAGGAAAGAUGAAAAGCACUUUGGAAAGAGAGUUAAACAGCACGUGAAAUUGUUAAAAGGGAAACGAUUGAAGUCAGUCGUGUGAAAGGUAUUCAGCCGUCUCUGGCGGUGUAUUUGCCUUUCACGGGUCAACAUCAGUUUGAUCCGGUAGAAAAAGGCGGGAGGAAGGUGGCACCCUCGGGUGUGUUAUAGCCUCCUGUCAUAUGUGCCGGACCAGACUGAGGAACGCAGCUUGCCGCAAGCCGGGGUUCGCCCACGUACAAGCUUAGGAUGUUGACAUAAUGGCUUUAAACGACCCGUCUUGAAACACG
rnacentral:rRNA from 1 species